rnacentral:lncRNA from 1 species
GUCCGGGAUUUGGACAAUUUUUAUAUAUGUUGGUCUACAGUCGGGAUGGGGAGACGCGUGUUCGAGCUUUCCUUCGGGUGCGCCUUGGGACGUGCAGGGUCGGCCUCCAGGGGUCUUGGGUUUUUGAUGUCACUGCUAUAUACUGUUGGGGGCGCUCUGCUUAUAAUGUGUGGGCGUGGCCUGAUGGUUGCGGUGCUCGACUGUCGUGCGGGUUGUUGUGGGUUCGAUUCUUGAAGAUAAAUUUUUUUUUUAAUAAAUAUAAUUGGAAGGUACGAUGUUUUUAUUUAGAAUUGCCAUGAUGCUUUU